UGCAAGCAAGAUGGCCGCAUGUUGAGUUUGUGCUGUUGAAGAACAAACUUUUGAGUUUGCAAUGCAUAUCCUUGCUUUUCAAGUUUUGAGGGGAAUUUGAGUAUAUUGAUAGCAGCUUGUCAGGUGCAGAUUAUGCAAAGGCCCAGGUUGUUGUUAUAUUUGCAAAGAGGAUCUUGGCAUCACAUGAAUGAAUGAAUGAAUGAAGGUGUUCUCUGCAAUCACACGAUGCCCACAGUUAUAUUGCACGCAACUGGAAUUGGAAUGACCAUGAAUGGAGCUACAGUAUAUCAAUCUAACACUUUUUAAAGUCAGUUUACAUUUUUGCAUUCACAGUGUACAGUAGGUUUGUGGUAGAGUGUGGUAAAAAUACAGGUAGGUGCUAUGUGGGCAGCAGUGUGGAGUAGUGGUCAGGGCUCUGGACUCUUGACCGGAGGGUUGUGGGUUCAAUCCCCAGUGGGGGACACUGCUGUUGUACCCUUGAGCAAGGUACUUUACCUAGAUUGCUCCAGUAAAAA